GAAAUGCGAUAAUUAAUGUGAAUUGCAGAAUUCAGUGAAUCAUCGAGUCUUUGAACGCACAUUGCGCCCCCUGGUAUUCCGGGGGGCAUGCCUGUCCGAGCGUCAUUGCUGCCCUCAAGCACGGCUUGUGUGUUGGGCUUCCGUCCCUGGCAACGGGGACGGGCCCAAAAGGCAGUGGCGGCACCAUGUCUGGUCCUCGAGCGUAUGGGGCUUUGUCACCCGCUCCCGUAGGUCCAGCUGGCAGCUAGCCUCGCAACCAAUCUUUUUAACCAGGUUGACCUCGGAUCAUGUAGGGAUACCCGCUGAACUUAAGC
rnacentral:misc_RNA from 1 species